rnacentral:sRNA from 1 species
AUAGCGCAAGGUACGGUAAGAAUGAGAAGAAUCGAGUAAGGUGCGAUUCGAGAGAAGCGAGAACGCGUUGCCGCAGUGCGACGGCCCGAAGGGCGAAGCGCGCAGCGCUGAGUCAUCCUUCCCCCACCACCA